rnacentral:rRNA from 1 species
CCUACGGGAGGCUGCAGUGGGGAAUAUUGCACAAUGGGGGAAACCCUGAUGCAGCGACGCCGCGUGAGUGAAGAAGUCUUUCUGUAUGUAAAGCUCUAUUAGUAGGGAAGAAAAUCACUGUACCUGAGUAAUAAUCUCUGGCCAAUUACGUUCCAGCCGCCGCGGUACUACGUCGGGGGCAAGCGUUAUCCGGAUUUACUGGGUGUAAAGGGAGCGUAGACGGCAGGACAAGCGUGGAGUGAAAUUCCGGGGCUUAACCCCGGAACUGCUUUGGAAACUGUGCAGCUAGAGUGCAGGAGAGGUAAGUGGAAUUCCUGGUGUAGCGGUGAAAUGCGUAGAUAUUAGGAGGAACACCAGUGGCGAAGGCGGCUUACUGGACUGUAACUGACGCUGAGGCUCGAAAGCGUGGGGAGUAAACAGGAUUAGAUACCCGAGUAGUC